CCCCCCCCCCCCCAGCACAGCUGGGCCUAGUGGGUCUGGGAGCCUGGAGGCCCCUUGUUCUGGUGUCAGGCCUUCCGCUUUCUCGGAGAGGAGGAGGGCUUCUCGUGCCUCCCACUGAAGGAGCUGGUGCUAAGGCAGAGGCUUGCCAAAUACCAAGCUGGUGACCACUAGCUAGAGGGAGCAAUCAGGAGACACCAAGCACGGCCUGAUCCCUGAGAGGGGCGACUCUGCAGCCGGCAAGACAGAGACGAGGCUGAAGCAUAAGCACUUCCUACUCCAGUGUCCCAAACAUGAGAGGGUGAGACAGUGAUUUGCUCAAGGUAUAUGGGAUCUUAAAGACAUCCGGUUAGAGGGCAAGGAGGAAUGAUGGUGCCUGACCCUGGGAGAAAGGAGAGAGUUGGUGCUACGCUACAAAGGAACCUGCCACCAGAUCAGGAAUGGACCAUCAUGGCAAACGGAAAUGGGAUUGAAGUCUAAGCACAUGCUAUUCUGGGUGGGUCAUACUUGCUCCUUAUAGUCACCCAAGGGGGUCUGUCUUCCUACGUUUUGUCAACUUUUAUAUAGCUUGAGUGCCUGGUCUGAUUUUCUGUGUCAGUCCCUGUCUCUGCUCCUCCAGCUGUCUGUGCGGAGAAGCUGAUCCUUUCUCCAAGGAACUCAGAUGCAAUGUAACAACUCCUCCUACACUUGGGUCACCAGACGAGCUUGAAUCCAGCACCUUCAGAAAUAAAAGCCUGAGCAUUUA